rnacentral:rRNA from 1 species
AUUGAACGCUGGCGGUAUGCCUUACACAUGCAAGUCGAACGGUAGAGGGGCAACCCUUGAGAGUGGCGAACGGGUGAGUAAUACAUCGGAACGUGCCCAGUCGUGUGGGAUAACGUAGCGAAAGCUACGCUAAUACCGCAUACGACCUGAGGGUGAAAGCGGGGGAUCGCAAGACCUCGCGCGAUUGGAGCGGCCGAUGGCAGAUUAGGUAGUUGGUGGGGUAAAGGCCUACCAAGCCUGCGAUCUGUAGCUGGUCUGAGAGGACGACCAGCCACACUGGGACUGAGACACGGCCCAGACUCCUACGGGAGGCAGCAGUGGGGAAUUUUGGACAAUGGGCGAAAGCCUGAUCCAGCCAUACCGCGUGCGGGAAGAAGGCCUUCGGGUUGUAAACCGCUUUUGUCAGGGAAGAAAUCUUCUGGGUUAAUACCUCGGGAGGAUGACGGUACCUGAAGAAUAAGCACCGGCUAACUACGUGCCAGCCGCCGCUGUAA